rnacentral:lncRNA from 1 species
GUUUUGUUUCUAGAUGGACUCGGGUGUUUGAGGAGGAGAAAACCAUUGUUUGUUUGUUUGUUUGCUUGUUUUUUUUUUUCAAAGCACACAGCAGGCUGGGCAAGCUGGUGAACUCUGGGAGCUAAAGAGAUGAAGACAAUUCAGGUUUGCGCUCAGCCCAGAGUCUCACCAUUUUAAGAUAAGAGGUUCAGGUCUGUGGAGCAACAUGAAGGCUGUUUCCAAAGGAUGGCAUCAUAUGAUUGCUGGAGCCUCCAACUCACUACAUAGUUAAAAAUGACCUUCAGCUUCUAAGCCUCCUGGCUCCGCCUUUGUUGGGAUUACAGGCAAGUGCUGCCAUGUCUGGUUUCAUGUGGUGCUGGGGAUUUGAACCAGAGCUUCAUGCACGUUAGUCAAGUGCUUUACCAACUCACCUAUAUUCU